UAAGGAUUUAAGUUAAGUUAAACUAAUAACCUUCAAAGUUAUAAAUAGAUUAAAUCUAAGCCUUAG
rnacentral:tRNA from 1 species